GCACAAGCGGUGGAGCAUGUGGUUAAUUCGAAGCAACGCGAAGAACCUUACCAGGUCUUGACAUCCCGAUGCUAUUUCUAGAGAUAGAAAGUUACUUCGGUACAUCGGUGACAGGUGGUGCAUGGUUGUCGUCAGCUCGUGUCGUGAGAUGUUGGGUUAAGUCCCGCAACGAGCGCAACCCUAUUGUUAGUUGCCAUCAUUCAGUUGGGCACUCUAGCGAGACUGCCGGUAAUAAACCGGAGGAAGGUGGGGAUGACGUCAAAUCAUCAUGCCCCUUAUGACCUGGGCUACACACGUGCUACAAUGGUUGGUACAACGAGUUGCGAGUCGGUGACGGCGAGCUAAUCUCUUAAAGCCAAUCUCAGUUCGGAUUGUAGGCUGCAACUCGCCUACAUGAAGUCGGAAUCGCUAGUAAUCGCGGAUCAGCACGCCGCGGUGAAUACGUUCCCGGGCCUU
rnacentral:rRNA from 1 species